GGAGAGAUGCUCGAGUGGUUGAAGAGGCACGCCUGGAAAGCGUGUAUACGCCUAAAGUGUAUCGCGGGUUCGAAUCCCGCUUUCUCCGCCA
rnacentral:tRNA from 1 species